GUGCACUAAAUGAAAAUUGUCAUGGAUUUCAAAUCAAUCAGAACUUGGCCUCCCAUAUCACAUCACAAAUUUAGGUUAAGCUAACUAAUUAUGUAUGUCAAGAUCAAUUUUAGAGCACAGGCAAGGUUUUUAUUCAUCUUACAUUUCAUAAUUUCAGAUAUUUAAAGAAAUGAGUCUAAAAAUAGCAAUACCUCUGUUUUUCUCUGUUCCUCUUUUAUACUUUAUAUUUAUUAUAUAGUGAGAGAGAGAGAGAGACAAUCAGAGAGAGAGAGAGAAUUUAUUCUUAAAUAAUAUGAAGCUGUGCUGGUUAAAGC
rnacentral:lncRNA from 1 species